rnacentral:rRNA from 1 species
UACGUAGGGAGCGAGCGUUGUCCGGAAUCAUUGGGCGUAAAGAGCAUGUAGGUGGAUCAAUUAGUCUGCUGUGAAAGUCAAAGGCUCAACCUUUGAAAGCCGGUGGAUACUGUUGAUCUAGAGUACGGAAGAGGCGAGUGGAAUUCCUGGUGUAGCGGUGGAAUGCGCAGAUAUGUGGAGGAAUACCGAUGGCGAAGGCAGCCCCCUGGGAUAACACUGACGCUCAUGCACGAAAGCGUGGGGAGCAAACAGG